AAAUGGCCAGUUGUGCAGUCAGGUUCUUGCCAAUGCAUUUGUCUGCAGUCACAGCAUCCAUUUCUGUAAUGAGUGUAGAAUGAAGAAUGUGGGAAAAGGAAGCAAAGCCAAACAACAGCAAACCCCAAGUAGCAUGAGGAACAAAAGCCAGCUAGAGAAGGAAGGGUGAAAUGCAGGCAUUGGAGCAGCCAGGGGAAGUAGGCUGGGGUGCUGUGUUGAGUUCAUUCGUCACUGAUCUGAUGAAAUACCAGACGAAGUAUCUUAAAGAGGAGACUGUUUCUAGGUCAAAUUAGCACAUGCAGGCUGAGAUCUGUGCUGGGAUGUUUUAAGUUCCAGUGGAAAUGUCAUCAGGCAAAGCAGCGGAAAACCAAGAUGCAGCUCUGUGACGAUUCCACGGUAUCCAGACCAGCUGAUAAUCAGUUAUUCAAGGUCAGUUUAAGAACCAAGUCAUCUUUCCUUUCAACCACCACCACCACAACAUCCACACAGAGGAAUUCUCUGCCUUCAGGGAGCUGGGGCCAUGUGAGUCACAGUCUCUAGAGAUUCAACUUUUGAGGAAAACUGGUGCAGACUACAUGGAAAGGUGAAUGGCUGAAAAGGAGACAGAGGCAACAGGUUGGAAAAAGGAAGCUUGCACAGGCUUCCAGGUGGCUCUGGGACGCCAGAAGAGAGCAGGAGAGUCAUUAUGUGCACAUUUCAAUAGUUGCUAGACAGUCACUUCCACACCAGUGCCUCCAAAUGGAUCCCUUACCCUGGAGUAAAGAUUCUUGCAAGCAGCAGAGGUGACACAGUCUGAAAAGGCAAGCAGACAGCAAAGACGCUCACCCAUAGUAUUACAAGAGUCAAAUCAAGGGCUCAUUCGUACACACCCACAGAGACAGAAGGCCUUGAGAAUAUGAAGUGGGUGAUGCCCUCAGACUCAGCUGGCCCUUUAGGAUUUAGACCCUGGGUGAAAGACAAGGGGAGAUGGUACACUAUGCUGUCAGAACUCCAAGUAGAAAUUUUCAACAGACUAGUGAUAAACUGAUAUUAU
rnacentral:sRNA from 1 species